rnacentral:rRNA from 1 species
AGUGAACGCUGGCGGUAGGCCUAACACAUGCAAGUCGAACGGCAGCACAGUAAGAGCUUGCUCUUACGGGUGGCGAGUGGCGGACGGGUGAGGAAUACAUCGGAAUCUACUUUUUCGUGGGGGAUAACGUAGGGAAACUUACGCUAAUACCGCAUACGACCUACGGGUGAAAGCAGGGGAUCUUCGGACCUUGCGCGAUUGAAUGAGCCGAUGUCGGAUUAGCUAGUUGGCGGGGUAAAGGCCCACCAAGGCGACGAUCCGUAGCUGGUCUGAGAGGAUGAUCAGCCACACUGGAACGGAGACACGGUCCAGACUACUACGGGAGGCAGCAGUGGGGAAUAUUGGACAAUGGGCGCAAGACUGAUCCAGCCAUACCGCGUGGGUGAAGAAGGCCUUCGGGUUGUAAAGCCCUUUUGUUGGGAAAGAAAAGCAGCAGGUUAAUACCCCGCUGUUCUGACGGUACCCAAAGAAUAAGCACCGGCUAACUUCGUG